rnacentral:rRNA from 1 species
AAAGGAAUAGACGGGGGCCCGCACAAGCAGUGGAGUAUGUGGUUUAAUUCGAAGCAACGCGAAGAACCUUACCAGGUCUUGACAUCGGAUGCAUAACCUAGAGAUAGGCGAAGUUCCUUCGGGAACAUCCAGACAGGUGGUGCAUGGUUGUCGUCAGCUCGUGUCGUGAGAUGUUGGGUUAAGUCCCGCAACGAGCGCAACCCUUACUAAUAGUUGCUACGCAAGAGCACUCUAUUGGGACUGCCGUUGACAAAACGGAGGAAGGUGGGGAUGACGUCAAAUCAUCAUGCCCCUUAUGACCUGGGCUACACACGUACUACAAUGGCCGAUAACAAAGGGGUGCAAAGGAGCGAUCCGGAGCAAAUCCUCAAAAUCGGUCUCAGUUCGGAUUGUAGGCUGCAACCCGCCUACAUGAAGUCGGAAUUGCUAGUAAUCGCGGAUCAGCAUGCCGCGGUGAAUACGUUCCCGGGCCUUGUACACACCGCCCGU